GGCCGAGUAGCUCAGCAGGGAGAGUGCCAGGCGCGCAGUCUGGAGGUCGGUGGUUCAAGUCCGCCCUCGGGUCG
rnacentral:tRNA from 1 species